UACGUAGGGGGGCUAGCGUUGUCCGGAAUCAUUGGGCGUAAAGCGCGCGUAGGCGGCCAGAUAAGUCCGGUGUGAAAGUCAAAGGCUCAACCUUUGAAUGCCGCUGGAAACUGUCUGGCUAGAGUCCGGGAGGGGCGAGUGGAAUUCCUGGUGUAGCGGUGAAAUGCGCAGAUAUCAGGAGGAACACCAAUGGCGAAGGCAGCUCGCUGGAACGGUACUGACGCUGGAGGAACGAAAGCGUGGGGAGCGAACAGG
rnacentral:rRNA from 1 species